AGCUUUGCACAGUGGCAAUAUUGUAGCCAAUGAGGUUUAUCUGAGGUGCAAUUAUUGCUAAUUAAAAGUAGGUGAAGGCCCAAGUAGUUGUGUCCCUGCCACCCACAUGGAAGAUCUAGAUUAAGUUCUGGGACCAUGACUG